rnacentral:rRNA from 1 species
GUGUCGGCAUAGCGCGGAAACCGCGGGUAAUUCCCGGCGACGUCCGGAGGGGGCAUCCCUUCCGGACCAAAGCUCCGGCGUCGUGGGACGGACCGUCGUGGUAUUAGGUGGUUGGCGGGGUAACGGCCCACCAAGCCGAUGAUGCCUACCGGGCGUGAGAGCGUGGCCCGGCACACUGGGACUGAGACACUGCCCAGACUCCUACGGGAGGCUGCAGUCGAGAAUCUUCGGCAAUGGGCGCAAGCCUGACCGAGCGACGCCGCGUGGAGGACGAAGGCCCUCGGGUUGUAAACUCCUGUCGAGGGGGAGGAAGCCGCAAGGUUGACCGAUCCCUGGAGGAAGCACGGGCUAAGUUCGUGC